rnacentral:piRNA from 1 species
UGGAAGCUGAUCCUCAGGAGCCCGGCCA